CGCACACAGGAAAUGAGCGCCAUCAGGAGGUGCGUGCACGUGAAGGCUGAGCAGGUGAGCGAUCAAGCGCACCUCAGUGAAGUUGAUCUUGUCCCCUUUGAACAUGCUCUCCCGGGCCUGCUUGACUCCUCUGGACUCCGCCUGUCCCAGGUGGAGGGUCACAUGACAGGGCAAAGUCAGGUCAAUAGAACACAGAUCUUUGUAGGCAUGUGUCUACAGUAGCGCUAAGCUAGUGGGGGCAAAGUUGUCAACGCCAGCAGGGAUGACAAUUACGACUAGGACGUUUCACAGCGAAAACAAAAACGCGUGGGACCGUUUGAUGUUCUGCAUUGAUACCACACGGAGA